CGGUCGAUCCUGCCGGAAUCCGACGCUCUCCCCAAGGACACAAGCCAUGCAUGCCCGCGCACCCGGGAGGCGGCGGACGGCUCAGGACAACGGUUGCACCCCCCGCGGCGGUCCCUGCUAGCCGGACACCGCUGGCAACCCGGCGCCAAGACGUGCGCGCAAGGGCGGGCGCCCGCGGGCGAGCAGCGUGACGCAGCGACGGCCCGCCCGGGCUUCCGG
rnacentral:rRNA from 1 species